UUGUUAUUAUACGAGACGCUGUUGUUGUUGAGGAACCAAAAUUGACGCUCUUCCCUGGAGAUUUUGAGAGAAUAUGGCUGAGGAGCAGUUAAAAGAAGUGAAUGCCAAUCCCGCGUCGACAUCCCCAGUGACCGACGAACCAGAGAAGACUCCAAUGAAACCAAAUCCGCCAACACCGCUCUCGGCAUCAGCUGCCGAUGAAGGGCAGCAGACAGAAAAGGCGGUUCAGGCAGCGGCCUACAGCAUGCGACCGGCUUUUGGGGAAAUGUUUCCUCUGCCCAUUGUCAAGAACAUCAUGAACAGCGUUAUGACCGAGAAACUGAAAGAUAAAACAUACGACAAGGACGUGGCCAAGAUAUGGACGCUUGAGAUUGCCGAUGAAGUGAAUCAGAAAAUAGCCUCCAAUCCCAAGGUGAGGCGCUACAAGCAUGUGGUGCAGGUGAUGCUCGGCCAGGAGCUCGGUGCCGGGGGUUUCUAUAAUUCGCGCUGCUGCUGGGACUGCGACUGUGAUACCUCCGUCUCCGAGGUGUUCAGCAAUACCAGUAUAUUUUGUGUGUGCACUGUCUUUGGCACCUAUCAGUACUAAACGCGCACAAACGGCCAGCAAGGACGACGCACCAGAACUGAUUAGGAUAAGAGAACAACCUUACUAUAUUUAUUCUUAGCACGGCACCAGGAAACAAGGGAACAACGACCCAACUUCA